CCUACGGGUGGCAGCAGUGGGGAAUAUUGCACAAUGGGGGAAACCCUGAUGCAGCGACGCCGCGUGAGCGAUGAAGUAUUUCGGUAUGUAAAGCUCUAUCAGCAGGGAAGAAGAUGACGGUACCUGACUAAGAAGCCCCGGCUAACUACGUGCCAGCAGCCGCGGUAAUAAGUAGGGGGCAAGCGUUAUCCGGAUUUACUGGGUGUAAAGGGAGCGUAGACGGCGAUGCAAGCCAGAUGUGAAAGCCCGGGGCUCAACCCCGGGACUGCAUUUGGAACUGUGUGGCUGGAGAGUCGGAGAGGCAGGCGGAAUUCCUAGUGUAGCGGUGAAAUGCGUAGAUAUUAGAAGGAACACCAGUGGCGAAGGCGGCCUGCUGGACGAUGUCUGACGUUGAGGCUCGAAAGCGUGGGGAGCAAACAGGAUUAGAUACCCUUGUAGUC
rnacentral:rRNA from 1 species